rnacentral:lncRNA from 1 species
AUGAAGAGGAGGCGCAGCAACCGUCUACAAGAGCAAAAUCCAGUGAAAGAAUUCGCAGAAAAAGUCACAGAACCCCUAACAAGUGAUCCACUCGAUCGUAUAUCAUAUGCUCCCGAUAUUUAUAAUCCCGGAACUUCAAAAAGAGCAAAUAAGAAUAUACUAUUGGUUACCUCAGGAGUCGAAACUUCUGACACUAAUGAAGAAGCGAUAUCCUCUUGCCCUCCGAACAAAUCUAAAGAAUCUAAAUCAAAAUCAAAACUAGAAUACACUAGAGAAACCGAAGAACGCCCAACAACUGAUCCACUUCAUCUUCCAUCAUAUUCUUCUGAUAUCUAUAAUCCCGGAACUUCAAAAAUAGCAAAGAAAAAUAUACUACUAGUGGACUCAGAAGUCGAAAUUUCUGACGCUGAUGAAAAAUCGACAUCAUAUUGCCCUCCAAAAAAACCGAAAAAAUCUAAAUCAAAAUCAAAACGGUAAGUAGAAAUAACAUGCUCCGUCACUCAGUUGAUUCUAAACAGUUUACAAGAAUUUUGAAUCGGUUUUAGCCAAUUCCUAACGAAAUUUUACUUAAAUGAAUAUUUGUUUUACUUUAAAAUUUAAUAGUUAAACUGUGACAACUCAAAUCACACUCUUUCGUUCCUCAUCGAAUUUGCGGGGUCGAUUACGUCAUGCAACUUUAUAUAAUUUUCAGAAAUUAACUUAACUGUAUUUAGAAUUGUUUGGCUGGUGUAACUAGAAACUAGUAUGAGAAAUUUUUUGUAAAACAUCAAUGCAAAGCAAAUAAAGCACCCUCAGCUAGUGUCGUAUCAGACGAA